AUGCAUUUCGCUUAAAUUUCCUAACGACCCGCCUUAAAACGUUUCAAAAUCUGUAAAAUUAAUCCUCUGACGAUCACUUUAUCUGCACAUAUGUAAUAGUGUUUUGCUAUGAAUAAGUAUUUUACGACGCAAAACUUGUGUAAAUACCGCAAUAAAAUUAUCUUCAUUGAUGCGGACAGGAGGUAUUACAACAAAAUAAAACACAUCAGUUCUAGGAUAUUUUAAUAAGUUGAAACAAUUACAGAAAUCGACGAACUGUGUAACCUAUCCAGUGACCUAUCACAGAUGUGUCACUAGCUGAUACGAAGGUGUCUGUCUUUGAAGGUGGAAUCCAGAUUAAGGGCAAGUGUUUUAAGCUUUGUGUCUUACUUUAUCGUAAACUUUGGAGUAAAGCGGACAUCAAAAACUCCCGAGCAAGAAUUCAGUGUCGGUAAGCAGAAUACACUAUGGUCGUUCAUGCUCAACAAUGCUGUAAAUCCCUACAUCAUGGGGUUAUUUAACAGGCAGUUUAGACGUUUUGUAAAGGAUAUCAUUUUUAAAUGUCAGUUAUUAAGGAAUUAGUUUAUAUAGGUAUUGUAAAGGAAAUCAUUUGUAAAUGUCAGUGUGUUUUAGGAAGUAGUUUAGACGUUUAAUAAAGGAUAUCAUUGGUAAAUGUCAGUGUUUGGGGAAGUAGUUUUGACGCUUUGUAAAGAAUAUUAUUAGCAAAUUGCAGUGUUUGGGGACGUAGUUUAGACGCUUUCAUUUGCAAAUAUGAGUGUAUCAAUAAAUGUUUGCAGUUUGGUCUAAAUUGUUUUCUACAACAAAUAUUUGAUUAAUUUCUGUCAGUACUUCUUAAAAAAUUAACAUGUUUAAUUCAUAUUCUUGGAAAAACAUCCGCGCAGUCUGGUCAGGGUUCGCUAAUGGUUUCUCUAAUUGCUAUAGGUUUAGAAAUCGAACAACAUGGAACCAGACCAGACUGGUCUGGAUCCAUGCUGGUCGCAAAGCCACUAUGUUAGUUUUCUCAUGGCACGGUUCAUAUAAAAGGUUAUAAUAUAUAACUUGAUUUUGGACGUAAAUAUAGUUGUGAACAUUCAUUAUUCACACUAUAUCUACUGUGUAAUUACAUAACAAUUUAGUGGUUUUACAUUUUAUGAUAUGCAUUUACUUAUUUGUUUUUAUGUAAAUAGUGUGUGGAGUAUGACUCCCGCAAAAUAAUUUAAACGACAGCAUGUUUAUGUAACAUUAAAACUCUCGGACAAAACGAUUUAUACUCGGGGGCUACGCCCUCUCGUACAAAUCGUUUACCCUCGAAUUUCAAUGCCCUUUCUGUUUUGUAUCAUAGCCAUCCAUAUAUGGUAGUUCAGUAGGCGUUCCACAUUGCCAUAUACAGCAGUUCAGUGAGUACUUAAAAUCCUUGCUUUACAAAUGUGUAAAGAUCAGGUAAAAUAAAUCAAUGCGAGCGCAGAAAAGCAAUAAAAUGCACUUCGCUGUCUGCUGUUAGAGACACGCCCAUACACGCUGGCAUACUUUCCUAUCCAACAGUGCCGUAACUAGCGUGCGGGUAUUUAAUACCUGUACACUUUUAGUGG
rnacentral:misc_RNA from 1 species